rnacentral:misc_RNA from 1 species
ACACCUCAACUCUUCAUGGUUUUCCAUGAUGAGCUUGGACUUUGGGGGCUUUGCUGGCCCGUGGUCAGCUCCUCUCAAAUGGAUCAGCUUGCCAGUGUUUGGUGGGCAUCACAGGUGUGAUAACUAUCUACGCUUGUGGUUUUCCACCAGGUAACCUUCAGCAGUGGAGGUUCACUGGAGCUCACAGAUGUCCCUCCUCAGUGAGGACAGCCCUUUGAAU